GAUGAACGCUGGCGGCGUGCCUAAUACAUGCAAGUCGAGCGAACAGACGAGGAGCUUGCUCCUCUGACGUUAGCGGCGGACGGGUGAGUAACACGUGGAUAACCUACCUAUAAGACUGGGAUAACUUCGGGAAACCGGAGCUAAUACCGGAUAAUAUAUUGAACCGCAUGGUUCAAUAGUGAAAGACGGUUUUGCUGUCACUUAUAGAUGGAUCCGCGCCGCAUUAGCUAGUUGGUAAGGUAACGGCUUACCAAGGCAGCGAUGCGUAGCCGACCUGAGAGGGUGAUCGGCCACACUGGAACUGAGACACGGUCCAGACUCCUACGGGAGGCAGCAGUAGGGAAUCUUCCGCAAUGGGCGAAAGCCUGACGGAGCAACGCCGCGUGAGUGAUGAAGGUCUUCGGAUCGCAAAACUCUGUUAUUAGGGAAGAACAAAUGUGUAAGUAACUAUGCACGUCUUGACGGUACCUAAUCAGAAAGCCACGGCUAACUACGUG
rnacentral:rRNA from 1 species